AUGGCAGCAAAGGCCAAAGUCUUAUUUGAGUUAUUACCAUUAUUAUUCACCACACUUGCCAUCUUAUUUCAAGCCUACAGUGGCAGAAGUGGAGUAAGACAUCAUGUUGCCUCAAGUUUAAUUGGAAAUCGCGUGCCUUGUGAAGAAUGGACACUCAGUAGAUGCUUAUUGAUGAACCUGUUGGUUGAGGAUAACUCGCUAACUUUUCUGAGCUUUGUUGGAAAAACUCCUGUAUAUCAAUGUCAAAUGGAAAUGUGGAGAAUUGAAUUGGAUUGAAUUAUUUUGGGAAUUUGCACCAAACAUCCCUGUUGGUUUCUUCAAAAUGACAAAAACUGUAAGGAAAGUGAGAAAUGACAAGGUAAAUAGAAUAAAAUAAUACAAAAAUGUUACAAGUAAUGUCAAUACAUUUAACUGCAUACAUGAGAAAAUAUUUAAAGGUUGAUUAGUGUAACAUGAGUUUGCUCUAUUAAUUGAGAAAGUUCAGUUCUGUAGUAGAGCACAGAAUGAGGUGGAUUAAUCCCAUAGGAUGUGCUAAGCACAGAUAAUGAGUAAGCGAGUAGCUUGUGAGACAUAGGUAGAAUUCAUAAUAUACUAAAUAUAGACUGAUAUAUGUACUAUAUUAUUAUAUUUACUGUAUUACUGUAUUAUUAUAUUUAUUAUAUUUACUAUAUUAAAUAUAUUUACUAUAUUACUAUAUUAUUUAUAGAUGGAAAGGGAUGGAAAGAACCAGCCACUUAUACCAGCCACUUAUGGUCCUACUCUGGGCCCACAUGUGCUCUACCUAAGAAAUCCUUAUAGUACCCAUAGCUUUUUGCAGGCUGAUUGACAAGUUAUGGCUGUGGCCAGGCAUACUUGUCACUGUCUCUCUUUAAUAGAGCAAGUGUGUAUCAUUGGCCCCAAGCACCUUCUGUCUGUUGACCUGGCUCAAACUUCAACCUGACCAUCAGUGAAGAAGGCUGAUGCCGCAGAUGGAGAGAGACACAGGAUGUAUGAAUGUAGCAUAACUCAGGAUUCACCUCGUGUGGUCCUUCCCACUUGAACCCUAUCCUAAGUGUGGAAAGUUACCCCAUCGCUUUCCUCUUGCUUCAGAUUAUGUGCUUUAAAGUGAUU
rnacentral:lncRNA from 1 species